CAGAAAAUAGUUUAGUUUAGAAUCCUGGCUUUGGGAGUCUGGGGUGGGGGUUAAAAUCCCCUUUUUCUGA
rnacentral:tRNA from 1 species